rnacentral:sRNA from 1 species
UGAUCAGAACUAUUUGGCUGGGUAUUUGAGCUUAUUAUUGAGAGGCCUAUUGUAUAAGUAAUAUAUUUAAUGUUGUUUAAAGAACAUUAGAAUGGUACUCAUCAUAUCAAGAAACGGUAUUCAUGAUUUUGAAGUUACAAUUAUAAUUUACGUAUAAAUAUUAAAUAAAAAACUAUGUGUUAAUAUAAGUAUAAUAGCUAUCGAUUUUUCUUCCUUUCAUUUAGACAAUGAACUCGCUUUUUAAUAUAUUGAACUCAAAAAAAAUAUUCACUAGAAAUGUUUCAAGACACCUAUAAAUGCCAAUAACUGACCAGAUAAGCUCAAUUUUCUUGAAGUCACAACAACAUAUUUACUGUCCUUGGAAACUUCUGAUGGUCGCUUUCUUUACCAAACCAAAAAACACUGCAAUAACUGACUUUUUGAUCAAUAUUGAAAGUAUUAUUUGCCUAGUGCCACAAAUUCUGACGGUUCAGCAAUUUUUACUUACACGCAAAGAUUCACAACAACAUCUGGAACUAUUAUUCAAUGCAAUUAAGAAGAGCUGGUGGCUGGAACAAUAACCCCAAUGUUAGGCAGUUUCAAGCUACAUUUAAGAAACUCCUGGUUCGAUGUGGUGUUCAACCUUGAAAGACAGGCAAUGGUUCUUUGUUGAACAGUUUGGAAAAUUCAUCGACAUGGAUGCAGCUGACCAUACAUUUUGAUCUGAACAUGAUUAUUGUUCUCAUUUCAAUGUCAAUCAUAAACACACAAUAGAGCAAAUUGUCUCAUAUAUAGCCGGAUGGGUUUGUUAGAAAAGCCAUGAAUGUGAUUGAUUGCUCAGUAUGUUGAGUAUCAUUAGUACAUGUUGACAAGCCUAGAGAUUUUUCUUUA